rnacentral:lncRNA from 1 species
UUUCUCUUUCAUACUGGAAGUUCAGGGAAGCGGGGGAGCAAGCUGGCUGGCUCUCUGUAAAGCAGGUAGUUCCUUUUCUCUUCAGCCUUGGUCUCUUUCCGACCUCCGCUGACAAGGUGUUGAUCUGCGGAAGUAGUGAGCCCAGGUCGGGUGUUCUUGCAGCCAGCCUGUGAGCACUCCCUUCAAUGGAAAGUCCUGUGGUCCCUGCCAGCAACUCUGGUCCACAGAUGUCUCCGGAUGCAGCCCCACCCGUGCUCGGUUGCUGCAGUGGGAUUUGCAAGUGAUCUGCGCACCAGAAUCAUAACCAACCUUAAGGGGGACUUCAACGCAAGAUACUGGAACCAAAUACCAAAACCAGUUACAAUUCUCACAGCCUUUUCAGGAGAUAAUAAUAGAAUUUCAGGCAAGAUGGACAAGAAUUUUGAGCUUCAUGGAAGUGAUAAGUGUCACUUAAAUGGGGAAAGUAGCAGAGUAGCUUCUGCAUUGACCCGUCAUCGACAGAGCCGGAGAUCAGAUGGCGAUGCCCUCAUUUUUCGCGCAGCCGUUCUCUUCCGCUCAAAUGUACCAAACGUAGGGCCCAUUUGCCGACUUGGAAUUCACAGUUGA